rnacentral:rRNA from 1 species
GAUGAACGCUGGCGGCGUGCCUAAUACAUGCAAGUCGAGCGAACGGACGAGAAGCUUGCUUCUCUGAUGUUAGCGGCGGACGGGUGAGUAACACGUGGAUAACCUACCUAUAAGACUGGGAUAACUUCGGGAAACCGGAGCUAAUACCGGAUAAUAUUUUGAACCGCAUUGUUCAAAAGUGAAAGACGGUCUUGCUGUCACUUAUAGAUGGAUCCGCGCUGCAUUAGCUAGUUGUUAAGGUAACGGCUUACCAAGGCAACGAUGCAUAGCCGACCUGAGAGGGUGAUCGGCCACACUGGAGCUGAGACACGGUCCAGACUCCUACGGGAGGCAGCAGUAGGGAAUCUUCCGCAAAGGGCGAAAGCCUGACGGAGCAACGCCGCGUGAGUGAUGAAGGUCUUCGGAUCGUAAAACUCUGUUAUUAGGGAAGAACAUAUGUGUAAGUAACUGUGCACAUCUUGACGGUACCUAAUCAGAAAGCCACGGCUAACUACGUG